rnacentral:misc_RNA from 1 species
AACGCAUAUUGCGCUCGAGGCCUCGGCCAAGAGCAUGUCUGCCUCAGCGUCGGGUUAAUACUCACUCAAACAACCCUUGUGGUUAUCCGAGUGGACCUGGCAGUCCCACUUCGUAAGGGGUGGGUCUGCUGAAGCUCAGAGGUUGAUGUAUGGACCCUCUUAUGGGCCGCAACUGGGUAGGCAUUCUUGCUAUUUCUAGUUGUUGGCUUGGGAAAUGCAUCCAACCCUAAACCAGGAACCCUUUUUUUCUCGACCUGAGCUCAGGCAAGAUUACCCGCUGAACUUAA